rnacentral:rRNA from 1 species
ACGCUGGCGGCACGCCUAACACAUGCAAGUCGAACGAAGUAGCAAUACUUAGUGGCAGACGGGUGAGUAACAUGUAGGUAUCUGCCCUUUGGCCUGGAAUAACACGAGGAAACUUGUGCUAAUACUGGAUAAGUCUUUACGGAGAAAGCUUUAUGCACCAUUGGAUGAGCCUGCACUUGAUUAGUUUGUUGGUGGGGUAAUGGCCUACCAAGACUGUGAUCAAUAGCUGAUUUGAGAGGAUGAUCAGCCACAUUGGGACUGAGACACGGCCCAAACUCCUACGGGAGGCAGCAGUGAGGAAUCUUGCACAAUGGAGGAAACUCUGAUGCAGCGAUGCCGCGUGAGUGAAGAAGGCCCUUGGGUUGUAAAGCUCUUUCGUCGGGGAAGAAAAUGACUGUACCCGAAUAAGAAGGUCCGGCUAACUUCGUGCCAGCAGCCGCGGUAAUACGAAGGGACCUAGCGUAGUUCGGAAUUACUGGGCUUAAAGAGUUCGUAGGUGGUUGAAAAAGUUAGUGGUGAAAUCCCAGAGCUUAACUCUGGAACUGCCAUUAAAACUUUUCAGCUAGAGUAUGAUAGAGGAAAGCAGAAUUUCUAGUGUAGAGGUGAAAUUCGUAGAUAUUAGAAAGAAUACCAAUUGCGAAGGCAGCUUUCUGGAUCAUUACUGACACUGAGGAACGAAAGCAUGGGUAGCGAAGAGGAUUAGAUACCCUCGUAGUCCAUGCCGUAAACGAUGUGUGUUAGACGUUGGAAAUUUAUUUUCAGUGUCGCAGCGAAAGCGAUAAACACACCGCCUGGGGAGUACGACCGCA